AACGAACGCUGGCGGCAUGCCUAACACAUGCAAGUCGAACGGGAUCCAGACUUCGGUCUGGUGAGAGUGGCGGACGGGUGAGUAACGCGUGGGAACCUGCCCAAUGGUCUGGGAUAACCG
rnacentral:rRNA from 1 species